rnacentral:rRNA from 1 species
GAUGAACGCUGGCGGCGUGCCUAAUACAUGCAAGUCGAGCGAACAGACGAGGAGCUUGCUCCUCUGACGUUAGCGGCGGACGGGUGAGUAACACGUGGAUAACCUACCUAUAAGACUGGGAUAACUUCGGGAAACCGGAGCUAAUACCGGAUAAUAUAUUGAACCGCAUGGUUCAAUAGUGAAAGACGGUUUUGCUGUCACUUAUAGAUGGAUCCGCGCCGCAUUAGCUAGUUGGUAAGGUAACGGCUUACCAAGGCAACGAUGCGUAGCCGACCUGAGAGGGUGAUCGGCCACACUGGAACUGAGACACGGUCCAGACUCCUACGGGAGGCAGCAGUUGGGAAUCUUCCGCAAAGGGCGAAAGCCUGACGGAGCAACGCCGCGUGAGUGAUGAAGGUCUUCGGAUCGUAAAACUCUGUUAUUAGGGAAGAACAAAUGUGUAAGUAACUAUGCACGUCUUGACGGUACCUAAUCAGAAAGCCACGGCUAACUACGUG